rnacentral:rRNA from 1 species
UACAGAGACCUCAAGCGUUAUCCGGAAUCAUUGGGCGUAAAGCGUACCGAUAGGUGGUUGAAAUAGUCUUGGGUAAAAGCCAGAAGCUCAACUUCUGAGUUUGCUUAAGAUACUUUUCGACUAGAGGGGCAAAGAGGUGCUUGGAACGAACGGUGUAGUAGUGAAAUGCGUUGAUAUCGUUCGGAACACCGAAAGCGAAGGCAGAGCACUGGGCGCCACCUGACACUGCUAGGACGAAAGCGUGGGGAGCGAACAGG